ensembl:lncRNA
CACCCCCAUGACUAAAACACUGCCCACUAGGCCCCACUUCCAACAUUGCCACCCUGGGGAUCCAAUGUCAACAUGCAUUUUGGCAGGGACAAACCACAUCCAAACUACAGCAAGGUGGGAUUGCUUUUUAAACUUUUAAAAACAAUGUGGUACACAUUCAGGAGUAACUCUCUGUAAUAAACAGGAAAACAUUUAGAUUCACAUGUUUAUCAGUGCUUGUAGCAUUGGCUUGUUCCGGCCAGUUCUAGGAGUUCUAACCUCUGGAGGCUCCUGGAAGCUUUAGUGGAUGAUUUUAAAUUUGUGGAAAUGAUGGACUUCAUUAGUUAUGACCCUUGUAAGGAUGAAUGACUCUUCCACAGAUGAGUGCGUUCCAUGCUCUGGUGGUGUGACUACAGAUGGUGUGUUAUCAAUCACCCCUUGAUGGAUCUAUUAUUGGGUGAAUCUGGAAGCUCUUCUAUUUGGAGUUGAGGCCAUGGUCAGGGGAUCUGACUGGAAGAUCCAGCCGGGGCCUGCAGUUGUAUCUUAAAUCUCUUUUCUUUGGAGAUUCUGAAAUACUCAAUCAUGUUCUCUUGGUACCAGGGUAUUUGAAACAUCUGACUUAUGCAAGACCACAGGGAAGAGGUUGCUGGCAUGACAUCCUCCACACUGUACCUGGCUCCUGUCACCUGCCAUAUCACCUCCUGCCCCACCUCCUCCUUCAAACCUCAACACAGUUUAUAGUGCCCUACGGAGAAAAAAGGACAAGACAGACUGCGGUGAUGGAAAGCCUGGGUGCACUUCCAGGAUCGGCUUGGCUGUAGUGAAAGUCACAGCCCUUUCCUUCUGCCUUUCCAGGUCUAGGCGCUAAUAAAAUGACAUCAGGUCACAAUUUUAAAAAACACAAUGAUUUGAUUAAAAUGUUGGCCAGCUCUAAGAUAGGUAAGAAAAGAGAACAAGGAGGAACAUUUAUUCCCAGGAACUUAAUUUCUGAACAUUCCCAGCUCAUCUGUGUUUUUUUUUUUUUCCUACCAAAUUAGUUUUAAAAAGGGAUACAGUCUCAUCCUGAUCUUCAAAACAUUGUCUGUGAGAGGCGAUUGUGGUUGCUUUUCUGAAAAGGAGCAUGACAAGUUUAGAUGAAUUUUCUGACAGCGCUUCUCAACUUUCUGUUCUACUCGUCUUCAGUGUUUGAGAGAAGCACUGAGAGGUAAUCCUGACCUGGUCCAGUCUACCGGACUUCCUCUAAAUAGUAUAAGAGCUUCUGCUGGGAAAGAUACAGAAAGAAAAAUAUCCAAUGCUAGUUCAGGUUAGAAUUAGAUACGAGGAAUCACUGGUUUUAACGGAAGGCAAGAAUCAAAACCCAGAACAACUUUGCGGCAGCAAAAUAGCUUGGUCAGAUUAACCCUCCCAUAGAUAACAAUAAAAAUCUGAAUGAAAUGCACAAGUAAUUUCUGAUAGUACUGGAGAGUGAUGGUGGGUAGAAACUGGAGGAGCAUCUACCGUUGGAAUACACCCACAACACUUGGUAAAAACCUUUUGCCUGUACCAUUCAGGACAUAGGCAUGGACAGGGACUU